rnacentral:lncRNA from 1 species
AAGCAGAAGAUGGAGCAGAUGAAAGAGAUGAGAGGUACAGAGCCCGCUCAGGCAGAGCCUGGCAGGUGGCUCAAAGACUCGGGGCUUUCUUCUGAAUUAAAUGGGCACACACUGGAGGGCUCUGAACAGGGAAGUAUGACAGACAUCUUUUUAAAGGGCCCCUCCAACUCUGCUGAGAGUAGACUGAGGCAAGGCAAAGGCUGUGAUGCCCACCUGAAGCCCUGCUGGAGAGGACAGCACUCCGAGGAGUAGCAGAGGAACCAGAUGGAAGUAGCCAUGGUCUGGGACAACCUCAUGUAGCAAAACGGCCCUCCUGGCCUGGACAGACAGCUGAGGGUGCAAGCCCCGAGAAAUGCGAGCCAUGGCUCUUCAUGGCUGAAGGAAUUGGUCACCUAACACUGACACGGUCUGGAAGAAUUAUUUUGAAGUGGGAGUGGCCAUGGAAUUAAGUUCCAGCCAACAGGAUGUGAGAAAUGACACAUGCACCGACCGCAUCUCCUACCACUCCUGCAGGCUGUGAUGACCACCUGAAGACCUGCUGGGGAGGACGGCACUCCAGGGAGUAGCAGAGCAACCACAAGGAAGUAGCCGUGGUGUGGGACGUCCUCAUGUAGCAGAAUGGCCUACCUGACCUGGACCGCCUACUGCCUCUGGACUGUUAAGAGAGGAUAGACACUGUCUUGGUGAUACCACUUAACAGUCGUGUGCAGCAUCAUGACAUUUUGGGCAGCAAUGGACCACAUGUACAAUAAGAUUAUCACAGAGCUCAACAUUCCUAUUUCCUGGUGACAUGGCAGCCAUCAUGACUUCGUAGCACAAUGCAUUCCUCACGUGUUUGCAGUGGUACUGGUGUAAACACACCUCCUUGCACUGUCAAUCAUAGAAUUUAGCACAUAGAAUUACAUACAGUACAUAACACCUGAUAAUGAUAAUAAAUGACUAUGUUAAAAGUUUAUGUACUUACUAUACUUUUAUCAUUAUUUUAAAAUGUGUGCCUCCUAUUUAUGCAGAAAAAAGUUAGUUAUGAAGCAGCCUCAGGCAGGUCCCCCAGGAGGGAUUCUAGAAGAAGGCAUUGUUAUCCUAGGAGAUGACAGCUCCAUGCAUGUCACUGCCCCUAAGACUGUCCAGUGAGCAAGAUGUGGAAGCAGAAAUUGAUGAUCCCGACCCUGUGAGACCUAGGCUAAUGUGCGUAUUUGUGUCUUAGUUUUUAACACAAAGUUCUAAAGAAAUUUUUAAGUAGAAAAACGCUUAUAGAUUCAGGUUAUAAAGACAGAAAGUGGCCAAGUGUGGUGCCUCGUGCCUGUAAUCCCAACACUUUGGAAGGCUGAGGUACACAGAAGGAUCACUUGAGUCUGGGAGUUUAAGACCAGCCUGAGCGACAUAGCAAGACCCCAUCUCUACCAAAAAUACAAAAAAUAUAUAUAUAUCUGGGCAUGAUGGCAUAUGCCUGCCAUCCCAGCUAUUCAGAAGGCUGAAGUGGGAAGAUUACUUGAGCCCAGGAGUUGGAGACUGCUGUGGGCUAUGAUCAUGCCACUGCACUCCAACCUGGGCAAAAGAGUAAGAUCCCAUCUCAAAAAAAAAAAAAAAAAAAGAAAGAAAUUUUGUAUAGCUGUACAGUAUGUUUGUGUUUUAUGCUAUGUUAUUACAAAAGAGUCAAAAAGUUUAAAAAUAUUAAAAAGUUCAUAAAGUAAAAAAAGUUAUAGUAAGUUAAGGCUAAUUUAUUAUUAAAGAAAUAAAAUAUGUUUUUAUAAAUUGAGUGUAGCCAAAGUGUACAGAGUUUCUGAAAUCUAAAGUAUAAUACAGUCAUGUCCUAGGCCUUCCCAUUCACUCACCAGCUACUCACUCAUCCAGAGCAACUCUCCAGUCCUGCAAGCUCCAUUCAUUGUAAGUACCCUAUCCAAGUUUAUUAUUGUUUAUUUUAUACCUUAUUUUUAUAGUCCCUUUUCUGUAUUUAGAUAGAUUUAGAUACACGAAUACUUUGUGUUAACAAAUGCAUUGUGUUACAGUUGCCUAUGGUGUUCAGUACAGUAGCAUGCUGCACAGGUUUGUAG